rnacentral:rRNA from 1 species
CUAGCUACAGGCUUACACAUGCAGUCGAGGGCAGCAUGGUCUUAGCUUGCUAAGGCCGAUGGCGACCGGCGCACGGGUGAGUAACACGUAUCCAACCUGCCGUCUACUCUUGGACAGCCUUCUGAAAGGAAGAUUAAUACAAGAUGGCAUCAUGAGUCCGCAUGUUCACAUGAUUAAAGGUAUUCCGGUAGACGAUGGGGAUGCGUUCCAUUAGAUAGUAGGCGGGGUGACGGCCCACCUAGUCUUCGAUGGAUAGGGGUUCUGAGAGGAAGGUCCCCCACAUUGGAACUGAGACACGGUCCAAACUCCUACGGGAGGCAGCAGUGAGGAAUAUUGGUCAAUGGGCGAGAGCCUGAACCAGCCAAGUAGCGUGAAGGAUGACUGCCCUAUGGGUUGUAAACUUCUUUUAUAAAGGAAUAAAGUCGGGUAUGGAUACCCGUUCGCAUGUACUUUAUGAAUAAGGAUCGGCUAACUCCGUGCCGGCAGCCGCGGUAAUACGGAGGAUCCGAGCGUUAUCCGGAUUUAUUGGGUUUAAAGGGAGCGUAGAUGGAUGUUUAAGUCAGUUGUGAAAGUUUGCGGCUCAACCGUAAAAUUGCAGUUGAUACUGGAUAUCUUGAGUGCAGUUGAGGCAGGCGGAAUUCGUGGUGUAGCGGUGAAAUGCUUAGAUAUCACGAAGAACUCCGAUUGCGAAGGCAGCCUGCUAAGCUGCAACUGACAU